AAUAAUUAUUUUAAUUGUUAAAAGUCAGCACAAAUAUCAGAUAGUAGUCCUACAUACUCUUUGCCAGCUCACUGUAUCAAAAUAAAUUACUGAAAUCGUUUUUACUUAACGGGUCUUUGUGUGCUGUAACAAUAAAAGCCCUGUUGUCACUGAAGAAGGUAUACCAUAUAAAUAGUUAAAAAUACACUCACUUUGUAAUAAGACAAGCCUAUUUAACGCUGUAUUAAACAACGUAUAUAACUGUUUGUUUUUAGAUACUGUGAAAGGCCACCACUGAUGGUUUCUCGCCAGACUGCGGAGGGAGAAGUGAACAUCCUUUGCUCAUCUCCUAUCUCUGGAAGUUUGGAGGCCGGCUGCAAACCUGUUCUGUGCCUCUUCUGUGGCUAAUUGUCCUACAUUUUUAAUUGUUUCACACGUUUUUUAUGUAUUAGCACCAACAUAAAAACUAUUUAUUUACAGAACUUUUUUUUUUUCCUAUUCACGCCUUCUCAGCUGUAUACCUAUUGUUAUUAGGUCUGAUUUCAGUCUCCAGUCUGACAGCUCAGAGGCUGCCAGCCAGUGUUCAUACUGAAAGUGAAUGAAGGCAAAACUUCUUUCAACACAUUCAUUACAGCCGACGAGAAACCGCAUUGCAGGAGAAUCAUACUUCUCAUUUACUCUCACUCCUACUCACAGAUACACAAUAUCACUACUAUCGCUAUACAUUAAAAAAAUAAGAUCAAUGUAUUCCUCUUGGAUGCGUUAUUACAUUAUUGUUCCGUAAUAAAAAUGUAAAGAAGAAAUGUAAAUUCACAGUUACAUCUAAUUACACAUUUUUCAAAAUAAAUGUAACGUUUUGCCUUGUGGAGAUGUUUUUCCCUUGUGUUUAAUUUACGCGUCAUUCUUUCGCGAUGAAAAUCCCUCUAACAGUCACCUAAAGGAAAGUGGAUGAUGUAGAAUGUGCACAAGGUGGCGGUGUUGACUUCCAUGUACUGACAGCUCCUGAUUGUGUAACUAAGAAUGUAUGUGCGAUUAUGUAUACAGUAAAGCAAUACCUGGCACAUUAAGUACACAUGUUUUAAAACCACUCUGGUUAACACGUAAAUCAAUUACUAUUAAUAGACAAACGACAACUCGCUGAAGACCACAAAAUCAAAACUCUGCAGACUGUUCAGAAAGGUUUUGAAAGGGCAUGAAAAAAUGGACCUCCACAAAAGGCAGCUGAAAUAACACAAAGUCCCAAAGAAUAAAAAUAUACAUUAGACUAUUAAAAUACCACAUAUAAUUCAAGCUAUUUCACGACAAAGAUCUCUGAAACUGUUCUCGUUUUUCCUUAGACAAAGCACAACAAACUAAGCCUUCAUAUAGUGAUCAUGAUAUACUUAGACAUGCAUGCACUUAGGGAGUGUAUGUCUUUCUGCUCUAUAGUCCUAAAAUACAUUAGUAUACUAACAAGAACAACAGAUACAUGACAAUUUUUCAAGUAGAGGGCAUGGAAUAUUUUAUUGUAAAUGUCAAAAUAUUAUAUUAUUCAGUUCUGCUUUGUAAAUCUGCCUGUUUCUUUUACACGAAAUAUUUCUUAACUCUUUCAAAGUUCUUCUGCAUCUUCCCAGUACAAAUACACUGUUUUCGUGAUUUGUAUUUUUGUGAUAACGUGAUGCCCAGCGACAGUUCAUAAAGACAUUGCAGUGAUGCUCCUGACAUAAGCAGAAUCUUAUAUAAUAUGCCGCUGCUGUUACAUUUUAUUUAUACAACACAUGUCCAGUGUACAGUAGCAUUCAGUAAAUCUGCUAACGCACUAGUUUCAAUCAAAAUACAGAUACAAAAGGAGCAAUUACACCAACAAUAAGCAUAAUACAGGUGUCGACAAAAAAGACUUAACUCGCCUGCUCUUAUUUAUCAAUGUCAUUGCACAAUUACUCAUGACAUACACGUGAUAUUGGCCUAUUACCGUUACUCGCUACAGUAACCAGUCACAUUUCGUUGUUCUGUGGCUUUCUUUCAGGUCAUUAAAUAUACUCUACUCCGCACGCUAUUCAAAGUGUGAACCUUCAAGAACAGCCCAUUCUCGAGCAUAACAUUUAAUAAAUUGUCCAGCCUCACUAUGAAAAAUGAACACAGACUAAAUUCAAUCACUUCCUCAACAUCAAAGCCCGCGGAAUCUCAUCUCUGACACAUCAUUUUAUACCAUUUACACAUAUAGGUGGGGUGGGAGGAGAGGGGAGGGUUGAAAAACUGUCUGUAGCCUACCUCUCACGGACACGGUCUAUUAGAUAAACAUUCAAGCCAAUAAGGAACGUAGAAGCCCUUACUUACCCCCGAUCUCUCCGGCGAGUCUGUGACGCACAUUUGUUGGUCCCGCAGCAAUGCCAGUCAGUGGGGGUGAAGGCACUGGGUGGCGACAGAUAUUUUUAAGAAGUUCACGGAGUCUGUCAUGUUUUCGAUUCCCAAACCAGCUCUUCUCCUCUUCCUACUUCCUCUCCGUCUCAUUGAGUGUUUCUACAGCUCGUCACAGAAAACCUGAAAGCAACCUGGUGCCUCCAUCCAUGUCACAUCAGCGGACUUUAUGAUACGAUUAAUAAAAUCAUCCAAGACAACACUAACCGAUCUAGAGGUGAAGUGGAAGUAUACUGAAUAAAUAAGAUCCAAUUUAAUUUGACGGGCAAGACCCACAACUGCUAACACAAUCUGUAAACCCCCAGAAAUUCAAAGACAGCAGAGCAGUGAGCCCAACACUAAAUGAAUUUGUUUAACACGCUUUUCCUCUUUUACCGAGACAGUGUGGCAUAUUCAAGGACAGGGUGUGUUUCGAUCCAUCUCCAAAUACUUUCCGUUUCCCUCCUGUCUGUUCUCGCCUCCAUGUCUCGCGCUCACGCCACACAGACGGAUAGAACACAAUAACACAAAAGAAUUCUAA